GCGCACCAGGCGAGAAACCUCCGCAAUGCGGGAAACCGCGACGGGGGACCCCGAGUGCCGUGGCAACGCCACGGCUUUUCCGGAGUGUAAAAAGCUCCGGGAAUAAGGGCUGGGCAAGGCCGGUGGCAGCCGCCGCGGUAAUACCGGCGGCCCGAGUGGUGGCCGCUAUUAUUGGGCCUAAAGCGUCCGUAGCCGGGCCCGUAAGUCCCUGGCGAAAUCCCACGGCUCAACCGAGGGGCUUGCUGGGGAUACUGCGGGUCUUGGGACCGGGAGAGGCGGGGGGUACCCCUGGGGUAGGGGUGGAAAUCCUAUAAUCCCAGGGGGACCGCCAGUGGCGAAGGCGCCCCGCUGGAACGGGUCCGACGGUGAGGGACGAAGGCCAGGGGAGCAAACCGGAUUAGAUACCCCCGUAGUCC
rnacentral:rRNA from 1 species